rnacentral:rRNA from 1 species
CAGCAGCCGCGGUAAUACGGAGGGUGCAAGCGUUAAUCGGAAUUACUGGGCGUAAAGCGUGCGUAGGCGGUUCGUUAAGUCUGUUGUGAAAGCCCCGGGCUCAACCUGGGAAUGGCAAUGGAUACUGGCGAGCUAGAGUGUGUCAGAGGAUGGUGGAAUUCCCGGUGUAGCGGUGAAAUGCGUAGAGAUCGGGAGGAACAUCAGUGGCGAAGGCGGCCAUCUGGGACAACACUGACGCUGAGGCACGAAAGCGUGGGGAGCAAACAGGAUUAGAUACCCCCGUAGUCCCUGUCUCUUAUAC